UCAAACUUGGUCAUUUAGAGGAAGUAAAAGUCGUAACAAGGUAACCGUAGGUGAACCUGCGGUUGGAUCAUUACGAAAUCUAAAAACGUUUGGGAGGGUCAGGAUUUACUCCUCGGAGUGCUGCUCCCUCUCAGACAAACCCCUAUGUGAACGUUUCACGUCUUUUGGCGACCCCUUUGCACGGAAAAAGUGGGAGGCGGAAUGGAGAGGCUAUUUUUUUGGAAACGAGAAAACAGUCUCAUUAAUCUUUUCUCACCCUCCUCUUUUCUCCUGGGUCGCCAGCGUUAUACAAACUCCAUAUAUUUUUAUAUAUCUGAACACAAAUGAGAAACAAUGAGAAACAACUUUAGACAACGGAUCUCUUGGCUCUCGCAUCGAUGAAGAACGCAGC
rnacentral:misc_RNA from 1 species